GAUGAACGCUGGCGGCGUGCCUAAUACAUGCAAGUCGAGCGAACAGACGAGGAGCUUGCUCCUCUGACGUUAGCGGCGGACGGGUGAGUAACACGUGGAUAACCUACCUAUAAGACUGGGAUAACUUCGGGAAACCGGAGCUAAUACCGGAUAAUAUAUUGAACCGCAUGGUUCAAUAGUGAAAGACGGUUUUGCUGUCACUUAUAGAUGGAUCCGCGCCGCAUUAGCUAGUUGGUAAGGUAACGGCUUACCAAGGCAACGAUGCGUAGCCGACCUGAGAGGGUGGUCGGCCACACUGGAACUGAGACACGGUCCAGACUCCUACGGGAGGCAGCAGUAGGGAAUCUUCCGCAACGGGCGAAAGCCUGACGGAGCAACGCCGCGUGAGUGAUGAAGGUCUUCGGAUCGUAAAACUCUGUUAUUAGGGAAGAACAAAUGUGUAAGUAACUAUGCACGUCUUGACGGUACCUAAUCAGAAAGCCACGGCUAACUACGUG
rnacentral:rRNA from 1 species